CAAGUGACAAGUCUAUAAAACCUAAAACCUUACUUAUAAAAUGUAUGCACAUCAAAUAUCAAAAUUAAAGUAUUAUGUCUUUGUUCUGAGAAACUUAUAAAUGUGUAGUUUUGUGUUUUAACAUAUUGGUAUCUGAAUUCAAAGAAAAAAUAUAAAAUUUUUUAUGAAAAAAUUGAAUCUUCAAUCAUCGUUUACUGAAUCAAUAAUAGUAUGUUCAAUAUUAAUAUGGACUAUCUCAACUUAAAUUGAUAUUUGUUAUUGUCUACAACUACACUACUACCAACGUCAAAUUUGGUGUAUUAUAUUAUUGUAGUCAAUCAGUCUAAACUAAUUCCAUUAAUACAUUGUCGAAUGUUGUGGUAUUCAAUUUUCAGUAAAUUUAUAGGUGUUUUAUUUUAAGUUACUGUGGCACACUAUUGCAGAUAACGGUUUUCCAUUAAGUCAGUAAAAAGAAUAAGAUGGAUUCACAAGUUCAAAUCAAAUAUUAGACAACUAUAUAUAUUUAGUUAUUCAGCUAAAGAUGUAAUUCAAUAAAAUAAUUUAAAAGUACUUUAUCAUUUUAAAAGUGACAUAAAGUUUUUAAACUCUAAGUAUUUAAACACACAUAUACUUAACAUAUCUAUAAUUAUUAUACAUUAUUUAUUAAUUAUUAAUGAUGAAUUCUUUAUUUAAUAUUAAUUUAAUCUAAAA